rnacentral:rRNA from 1 species
UACGGAGGGUGCGAGCGUUAAUCGGAAUAACUGGGCGUAAAGGGCACGCAGGCGGGCUUUUAAGUGAGAUGUGAAAUCCCCGGGCUUAACCUGGGAAUAGCAUUUCAUACUGGGAGUCUAGAGUACUUUAGGGAUGGGUAGAAUUCCACGUGUAGCGGUGAAAUGCGUAGAGAUGUGGAGGAAUACCGAAGGCGAAGGCAGCCCCUUGGGAAUGUACUGACGCUCAUGUGCGUAAGCGUUGGUAGCAAACGGA